rnacentral:rRNA from 1 species
UUAAGCGACUAAGCGUACACGGUGGAUGCCCUGGCAGUCAGAGGCGAUGAAGGACGUGCUAAUCUGCGAUAAGCGUCGGUAAGGUGAUAUGAACCGUUAUAACCGGCGAUUUCCGAAUGGGGAAACCCAGUGUGUUUCGACACACUAUCAUUAACUGAAUCCAUAGGUUAAUGAGGCGAACCGGGGGAACUGAAACAUCUAAGUACCCCGAGGAAAAGAAAUCAACCGAGAUUCCCCCAGUAGCGGCGAGCGAACGGGGAGCAGCCCAGAGCCUGAAUCAGUGUGUGUGUUAGUGGAAGCGUCUGGAAAGGCGCGCGAUACAGGGUGACAGCCCCGUACACAAAAAUGCACAUGCUGUGAGCUCGAUGAGUAGGGCGGGACACGUGGUAUCCUGUCUGAAUAUGGGGGGACCAUCCUCCAAGGCUAAAUACUCCUGACUGACCGAUAGUGAACCAGUACCGUGAGGGAAAGGCGAAAAGAACCCCGGCGAGGGGAGUGAAAAAGAACCUGAAACCGUGUACGUACAAGCAGUGGGAGCACGCUUAGGCGUGUGACUGCGUACCUUUUGUAUAAUGGGUCAGCGACUUAUAUUCUGUAGCAAGGUUAACCGAAUAGGGGAGCCGAAGGGAAACCGAGUCUUAACUGGGCGUUAAGUUGCAGGGUAUAGACCCGAAACCCGGUGAUCUAGCCAUGGGCAGGUUGAAGGUUGGGUAACACUAACUGGAGGACCGAACCGACUAAUGUUGAAAAAUUAGCGGAUGACUUGUGGCUGGGGGUGAAAGGCCAAUCAAACCGGGAGAUAGCUGGUUCUCCCCGAAAGCUAUUUAGGUAGCGCCUCGUGAAUUCAUCUCCGGGGGUAGAGCACUGUUUCGGCAAGGGGGUCAUCCCGACUUACCAACCCGAUGCAAACUGCGAAUACCGGAGAAUGUUAUCACGGGAGACACACGGCGGGUGCUAACGUCCGUCGUGAAGAGGGAAACAACCCAGACCGCCAGCUAAGGUCCCAAAGUCAUGGUUAAGUGGGAAACGAUGUGGGAAGGCCCAGACAGCCAGGAUGUUGGCUUAGAAGCAGCCAUCAUUUAAAGAAAGCGUAAUAGCUCACUGGUCGAGUCGGCCUGCGCGGAAGAUGUAACGGGGCUAAACCAUGCACCGAAGCUGCGGCAGCGACACUAUGUGUUGUUGGGUAGGGGAGCGUUCUGUAAGCCUGUGAAGGUGUGCUGUGAGGCAUGCUGGAGGUAUCAGAAGUGCGAAUGCUGACAUAAGUAACGAUAAAGCGGGUGAAAAGCCCGCUCGCCGGAAGACCAAGGGUUCCUGUCCAACGUUAAUCGGGGCAGGGUGAGUCGACCCCUAAGGCGAGGCCGAAAGGCGUAGUCGAUGGGAAACAGGUUAAUAUUCCUGUACUUGGUGUUACUGCGAAGGGGGGACGGAGAAGGCUAUGUUGGCCGGGCGACGGUUGUCCCGGUUUAAGCGUGUAGGCUGGUUUUCCAGGCAAAUCCGGAAAAUCAAGGCUGAGGCGUGAUGACGAGGCACUACGGUGCUGAAGCAACAAAUGCCCUGCUUCCAGGAAAAGCCUCUAAGCAUCAGGUAACAUCAAAUCGUACCCCAAACCGACACAGGUGGUCAGGUAGAGAAUACCAAGGCGCUUGAGAGAACUCGGGUGAAGGAACUAGGCAAAAUGGUGCCGUAACUUCGGGAGAAGGCACGCUGAUAUGUAGGUGANGUCCCUCGCGGAUGGAGCUGAAAUCAGUCGAAGAUACCAGCUGGCUGCAACUGUUUAUUAAAAACACAGCACUGUGCAAACACGAAAGUGGACGUAUACGGUGUGACGCCUGCCCGGUGCCGGAAGGUUAAUUGAUGGGGUUAGCGCAAGCGAAGCUCUUGAUCGAAGCCCCGGUAAACGGCGGCCGUAACUAUAACGGUCCUAAGGUAGCGAAAUUCCUUGUCGGGUAAGUUCCGACCUGCACGAAUGGCGUAAUGAUGGCCAGGCUGUCUCCACCCGAGACUCAGUGAAAUUGAACUCGCUGUGAAGAUGCAGUGUACCCGCGGCAAGACGGAAAGACCCCGUGAACCUUUACUAUAGCUUGACACUGAACAUUGAGCCUUGAUGUGUAGGAUAGGUGGGAGGCUUUGAAGUGUGGACGCCAGUCUGCAUGGAGCCGACCUUGAAAUACCACCCUUUAAUGUUUGAUGUUCUAACGUUGACCCGUAAUCCGGGUUGCGGACAGUGUCUGGUGGGUAGUUUGACUGGGGCGGUCUCCUCCUAAAGAGUAACGGAGGAGCACGAAGGUUGGCUAAUCCUGGUCGGACAUCAGGAGGUUAGUGCAAUGGCAUAAGCCAGCUUGACUGCGAGCGUGACGGCGCGAGCAGGUGCGAAAGCAGGUCAUAGUGAUCCGGUGGUUCUGAAUGGAAGGGCCAUCGCUCAACGGAUAAAAGGUACUCCGGGGAUAACAGGCUGAUACCGCCCAAGAGUUCAUAUCGACGGCGGUGUUUGGCACCUCGAUGUCGGCUCAUCACAUCCUGGGGCUGAAGUAGGUCCCAAGGGUAUGGCUGUUCGCCAUUUAAAGUGGUACGCGAGCUGGGUUUAGAACGUCGUGAGACAGUUCGGUCCCUAUCUGCCGUGGGCGCUGGAGAACUGAGGGGGGCUGCUCCUAGUACGAGAGGACCGGAGUGGACGCAUCACUGGUGUUCGGGUUGUCAUGCCAAUGGCACUGCCCGGUAGCUAAAUGCGGAAGAGAUAAGUGCUGAAAGCAUCUAAGCACGAAACUUGCCCCGAGAUGAGUUCUCCCUGACNGUCCUGAAGGAACGUUGAAGACGACGACGUUGAUAGGCCGGGUGUGUAAGCGCAGCGAUGCGUUGAGCUAACCGGUACUAAUGAACCGUGAGGCUUAACCUU